CGUGGUCGCCAGUGGGAGGAUGGACAAAAGGCUGAAUAUUAAAGAAAUUGGCGGCAUGGCACGACCUGGGGUGGAACCUGACGCUUUUGUUGACUCAACUCGGGGAAACUCACCAGGUCCAGGCUCAGUGAGAAUUGACGGAUUGAGAGCUCUUUCUUGAUUCUGUGGGUGGUGGUGCAUGGCCGUUCUUAGUUGGUGGAGUGAUUUGUCUGCUUAAUUGCGAUAACGAACGAGACCUUAACCUGCUAAAUAGCCCGUACUGCUUUGGCAGUUCGCCGGCUUCUUAGAGGGACUAUCGGCUCAAGCCGAUGGAAGUUUGAGGCAAUAACAGGUCUGUGAUGCCCUUAGAUGUCCUGGGCCGCACGCGCGUUACACUGACAGAGCCAGCGAGUAUUUCCUUGACCGGAAGGUCCGGGUAAUCUUG
rnacentral:rRNA from 1 species